UGACAUCGGCUAUUAUAAAUGUCCAAUG
rnacentral:sRNA from 1 species